UAGACGCGAAAAGUGUCCUGACAUGCCGACUUUGUGAAUGACCAAUUUUUGAACGCACCUUGCACCUAUCCAUGGGAUGGGUGUGCUUGUGUGAGUGUGGGACAUGAAUUUGCGCAUGUAUUGCCAGAGAUGAGGCGUGCGAAAAGAGCUGCCUUGAAAGACAUGGCGAGCACGUGAUGAGCGCCCUGGGAUACAUCUACAGGCCGCGAGUGACGUGUUCGGUAACGAGAGGUGUGUGAGUGAGACGUUUAAAGGGAGAGAUAAUAUUGAUAAUAUUCUCACCCUUUACGCUUUCACCCACCACACCCCCUACUACAUACCCACCUCACAUCAAGCAAGACCACCCGCUGAACUUAA
rnacentral:misc_RNA from 1 species